rnacentral:rRNA from 1 species
GACGAACGCUGGCGGCGUGCUUAACACAUGCAAGUCGAACGGAAAGGCCCUGCUCUUGUGGGGUGCUCGUGUGGCGAACGGGUGAGUAACACGUGAGUAAACUGCCCUUGUCUUUCGGAUAACUUCAGGGAACUGGGGCUAAUACCGGAUAGGAGCUCCUGCUGCAUGGUGGGGGAUGGAAAGUUUCGGCGGUUGGGGCUGGUCUCGCGGCUUAUCAGCUUGUUGGUGGGGUAGUGGCUUACCAAGGCUUUGACGGGUAGCCGGCCUGAGAGGGUGACCGGCGACAUUGGGACUGCGAUACGGCCCAGACUCCUACGGGAGGCAGCAGUCGGGAAUAUUGCACAAUGGGGGGAAGCCUGAUGCAGCAACGCCGCGUGCGGGAUGACGGCCUUCGGGUUGUAAACCGCUUUCGCCUGUGACGAAGCGUGAGUGACGGUAAUGGGUAAAGAAGCACCGGCUAACUACGUG